rnacentral:rRNA from 1 species
AUUAAACGCUGGCGGCAUGCCUUACACAUGCAAGUCGAACGGCAGCACGGGGGCAACCCUGGUGGCGAGUGGCGAACGGGUGAGUAAAGCAUCGGAACGUGCCCUGGAGUGGGGGAUAACGUAGCGAAAGUUACGCUAAUACCGCAUAUUCUGUGAGCAGGAAAGCAGGGGAUCGCAAGACCUUGCGCUCUGGGAGCGGCCGAUGUCGGAUUAGCUAGUUGGUGGGGUAAAGGCCUACCAAGGCGACGAUCCGUAGCGGGUCUGAGAGGAUGAUCCGCCACACUGGGACUGAGACACGGCCCAGACUCCUACGGGAGGCAGCAGUGGGGGAAUUUUGGACAAUGGGCGAAAGCCUGAUCCAGCCAUGCCGCGUGAGUGAAGAAGGCCU